rnacentral:rRNA from 1 species
AUGAGCCCACUUGCACACAACAAACUAUGUAAUUCCUCUACAACGGAUGUGUCUUGCGCCUUAUCAGCUGUUAAAGAUAAAACUGUAAACACCAACAUCCCAUCUUUAAAUAUGAAGCACCCCAGGAAUCAAGUUGCAGAUCAGCUGAUGAGACAUCCAUGUUUGUAUGGAGGUCACAAGUUCAGUUGGAAUGUAGGGGUUGAGAGGAUUAAGUGCAUGAUUGGUUUGAUACCAAAAUUUGGCAUGCCAAGAUUUCUAGUGAUUGGUUUGUUUCUUGCCAAGCUCACAAAAACUUGCCAAAUUUUGACAACUUUUGAUUUACCAAAUGUUGGCAUCAAAUCAAUCAGCUCUAACUCCAGUUGUGCAGCUUAUAAUGCCGAAAAAAGAAGUUGCAGUAUCAAUUCCGCUUUGUACUAA